UGGUGUCAGCCGCCGCGGUAAAACCAGCACCUCAAGUGGUCAGGAUGAUUAUUGGGCCUAAAGCAUCCGUAGCCGGCUCUGUAAGUUUUCGGUUAAAUCUGUACGCUCAACGUACAGGCUGCCGGGAAUACUGCAAAGCUAGGGAGUGGGAGAAGUAGACGGUACUCGGUAGGAAGUGGUAAAAUGCUUUGAUCUAUCGAUGACCACCUGUGGCGAAGGCGGUCUACUAGAACACGUCCGACGGUGAGGGAUGAAAGCUGGGGGAGCAAACCGGAUUAGAUACCCGGGUAGUCCCAGCUGUAAACUAUGCAAACUCAGUGAUGCAUUGGCUUGUGGCCAAUGCAGUGCUGCAGGGAAGCCGUUAAGGUUGCCGCCUGGGAAGUACGUACGCAAGUAUGAAACUUAAAGGAAUUGGCGGGGGAGCACCACAAGGGGUGAAGCCUGCGGUUC
rnacentral:rRNA from 1 species